rnacentral:rRNA from 1 species
CCAUGCCUACGGGGGGCAGCAGUGGGGAAUAUUGGGCAAUGGGCGCAAGCCUGACCCAGCAACGCCGCGUGAAGGAAGAAGGCUUUCGGGUUGUAAACUUCUUUUGUCAGGGACGAAGCAAGUGACGGUACCUGACGAAUAAGCCACGGCUAACUACGUGCCAGCAGCCGCGGUAAUACGUAGGUGGCAAGCGUUAUCCGGAUUUAUUGGGUGUAAAGGGCGUGUAGGCGGGAAUGCAAGUCCGGAGUGAAAGCCCACGGCCCAACCGUGGGACUGCUCUGGAAACUGUAGA